rnacentral:rRNA from 1 species
GAUGAACGCUGGCGGCGUGCCUAAUACAUGCAAGUCGAGCGAACAGACGAGGAGCUUGCUCCUCUGACGUUAGCGGCGGACGGGUGAGUAACACGUGGAUAACCUACCUAUAAGACUGGGAUAACUUCGGGAAACCGGAGCUAAUACCGGAUAAUAUAUUGAACCGCAUGGUUCAAUAGUGAAAGACGGUUUUGCUGUCCCUUAUAGAUGGAUCCGCGCCGCAUUAGCUAGUUGGUAAGGUAACGGCUUACCAAGGCAACGAUGCGUAGCCGACCUGAGAGGGUGUUCGGCCACACUGGAACUGAGACACGGUCCAGACUCCUACGGGCGGCAGCAGUAGGGAAUCUUCCGCAAUGGGCGAAAGCCUGACGGAGCAACGCCGCGUGAGUGAUGAAGGUCUUCGGAUCGUAAAACUCUGUUAUUAGUGAAGAACAAAUGUGUAAGUAACUAUGCACGUCUUGACGGUACCUAAUCAGAAAGCCACGGCUAACUACGUG